UUAGUAUUUGCAGGUUUAACUAAGUAUAAAGUACGCUUCAGUACAUCUGCUUAAAGUAAUGUUACCUAUUAAAUGUUCUUAAAAUGAGAUGUUAAAAUCACUUUUCCAACCAUAUUACAGUACAUGACACUGAAGUAUUUUUCUGAUCAUCCAGAAGGUUUUAUUACAUGUAAACUGAUGCAGUGACAGAAUCAUCCAGCAGGGGGCAGUGUGAACAUUAAACCCUACUUUAACGCACAACAGAGGAAGAGAAUUCGCGUGGUGUUUUUCCCUCUCAGCGGAGCUUUCUCCCUGAGAUCCUCCUUUUCCAGAAACACGACCCUUUAGACCUCAGAAGACCUUAUAAUGGAAUCAGCAGAGGUUGGACUGUGUUCUUCUAAAACACCUCCAUGCACUCCUGGUCCUGCUGGCUCACAGCUUUGUGGGGACGUGCAGACAGAAACUUGUCAGGCUUCAGGUGGAGCCUCUGUGGAACACAUCACCCCUGUGGACCUUCAAAAGAAUGUAAAGAAGGAAGAAAGUGAAGAUGAAGACUACCUCUCUCCAGUGGGCAUCUCUCAGGUAGACCAUCACACAAACGGCUGGAGUGCUCAUCCAACUAACACACAAGUUUUUUCUUUAAUCCAUAGAGCACACCUUUACUGUCUUGAGACCCUCAGGAGACCACCAAGGAAGAACACAGAGUACUUCUGGUGUGCGACAAAAUCCAGUCUUGAGUUCUGUCCCAAAUCAAUGCACACCUGUAGAAAGGAUCAUUCUAGAAACACUAGAGAAAAUGGACAUGAAGAUAAAUCAUCUUACUUCAUUGGUCCAGUCUCUAGUGGGAAACAGGCGUGGUGUUCCCCAAAUGCAGAUGGCUGAAGAGGAAGAAAGUAGUGUCUUUCCUAUAGCAUCUACAGAGGAUCUAGAUAGGCUGGAACAAAGAUUAUCUGACAGAGGGUUUAUGCAGAGCAUGGUGAACAGAUUAUCCAUCAGUGGCGGGCAGAACAUGAAGAAAACUGUAUGGAGGAUUUGCUCCAAAGUGUUCUCCACUGACGUCGCCCGGCAACUGAACUGGUGCGGGAGGGGAGACAAGCGAGGGAUCAGAAAAUCUAACAUCGUAGCGCUCAUAUUAGCUUCAGCUAUGAGGAAUCCAGUCCUUCAGUCUCCGACAGAAUCGGAUGCUGAAAAAUUCAUCAAAGAUUUUCUUCGAUUGGCCCCAGGGAGGAUGUAAUUUUUUAUUUAUUAUGCAUGUAUAUAUGUUAUAAAUAUAAAGUGUAUUGAUUUGUCUGUUUAUAGUUUAUCUUGUUUUCUCGUUUUUUGUAUAAAAAUAAACAAAUCCGUGUUUUA